CAUUGUUGUACUCAUUCUCAGACUUCAUAGAAACAACACGCCGGUAAAAGAAGACGGAACAAGAAGACGGCAUUGUUCUUUGCUUUCAACCGCCGUUGCGUAAACUAACAUCUUUAUUUUAACUCCCUCAGAUGACUCAAACUCAUGCUCUGCUCCGAGAUUCAGUAUCUUUGAGUUAUGCAGUACCGAGGUUAAGGAAAAGGUAUGCCAUGUUGCUAACUUUGUAUGAGAAAGUUAGACACAUUUCUUAUGUUAAUUGUUACACAUAGCUUCUGCUUUCUCAAAUAGCAAUUGUUUUGCCAUUAUUGCAGUUUUCCAAUUCUAAAGUAAAUAUUUUUCAAUAGAGAGCAUUUAAUAAUAGCCAUUAAAUUUGAAUUAACAAUUCAGAUCUUAAUUUCCUUUGAAAUUGUGAACAAAUGGCCUGUUUUCUCAUUUAAACGUAUGUGUACUCACUUCA